rnacentral:lncRNA from 10 species
UUUGGAAAAGUAUAAACCUAAGGCAUCACCUUUACAGAAAAUAUCUUCCACGGAAACAUCUAAAGGCCACAGAUCAGCCCUGGGGUUCAGAGGGAUCCUGACAGCUACUCCUCAAGAUCCUCUCUGUUGUGAUUCAUCCCCCCGGGGCCCUACAGUUUCUCCUUCCUGACUCUUACAUUUCUUUGGAUGGCAUCAUUAUUUACCUGUCUCCUCCCAUAGUUAGGUGCCAAGCACUGUGGAUUCUGCCUCUCAGUGUCCAGACACCCAUUUUCCUUCCCACUGUUCCUUCCCCAUGGAGAAGCCUGUGGCUGGCUGACAGCAGAGAGAGAUGCUCAACUUGGAGAAGGUGUUACCUGGGCCAGGUGGGGAAGGUUUGUUUGCAGAGCAAAGAAGUGAAGGAAGUAUUAACCCUUUGCAUGGCCUCCUGAGAAUCCGACAAGACGUAAAUAGCCAAGAAUAUCUGUGAAACUUCAUCACUGAGUUACAAUAUUUAUCACUGCAAGUGUGUUGUUCAUUGACACUAUAAAGCCAUGUGGAAUUAAGCAGCCUUGAAACACAAAAUGGAGAAAGGCUAAGAGCUGAGAAUUGUUGCCUUCAGGGAAAUACAAUCAAUGUCAAGCAAACAACCACCCCAAAAUGGUUAGCUUUAUCAGCAUUCAGGCCUACAGUGAACGCAAAUGUUCCAGAUCUGAGUUUCAAUUUUUAAAGAAUAAACAUAUGCAAAUGACCAUUAGUCUUAGUAGUUUUAGGGCUCAGAAUGAUCUUAUCUUGUUAACAUUCAGGGCAACUGCUUAUACCCAUUUGAAUGUCAUUUAGAGGGCUAGGAAAGACUGCUUCAACAUUUGAUGACUAAAUGGCAGGGCUCAGCCACAAUGCUCACUCCGAGAAAUGAGAAAUAGACACACCAGUAUGCUAGAUGCUGAUGCAGUUCAGGAAAUGCUACCCCAAAAUAUGGCCCCUCAGCAUACUGAGUAUUUUAAGCAGAAGGCAAUUAAGAAAACCACAAAAACAGAAAGGUCCCUCUGACCUUCUCCCACCCUCUCUCUCUUGAAGAUCCUCAUGUGACAGGUGACCUGCCAUAUAAUCAGAAGGAAGAAAUGUUACACAGAGAGGCUGAGAAGAAUCUGAGGACUUGCUAAGUUUUCCCCAGUUUAUUACCAUUAGAUCAUAUGCCUUUUUUGUUCAAUCAUACUUCUAUACAACUGUCCAUCAUUCAUUAAACCUAACCACAAAAGUAGUUUUCACUCGGUUUUUGAGUGAAGGCUCCUGUGUCACAUAAAACUUACAUUAAAUAAAUUUGUUCCACUUUUC